CCAAGGAGUCUAACAUGUGCGCGAGUCAUUGGGACUGCAAAACCUAAAGGCGUAAUGAAAGUGAAGGUCGGCCUUGUGUCGACUAAGGGAGGAUGAGUUGCAAUACGAUGCAUCUCCGCACUCCCGGGGCGUCUCAUACUCAUUGCGAGUAGAGGCGCACCCAGAGCGUACACGUUGGGACCCGAAAGAUGGUGAACUAUGCCUGGUCAGGACGAAGUCAGGGGAAACCCUGAUGGAGGUCCGUAGCGAUUCUGACGUGCAAAUCGAUCGUCGGAACUGGGUAUAGGGGCGAAAGACUAAUCGAACCAUC
rnacentral:rRNA from 1 species